rnacentral:rRNA from 1 species
GCCAGCAGCCAUAUCGUGCUGCAGCUCAUGAGUGGCAACCCACUGAAGCUCAGCAGGUGUGAGACUGGCCAUUACCUGGAUGGGAGACCUCCUUGGAAAAACUAAGGUUGCUGCUGGAA